rnacentral:rRNA from 1 species
GAUGAACGCUGGCGGCGUGCCUAAUACAUGCAAGUCGAGCGAACAGACGAGGAGCUUGCUCCUCUGACGUUAGCGGCGGACGGGUGAGUAACACGUGGAUAACCUACCUAUAAGACUGGGAUAACUUCGGGAAACCGGAGCUAAUACCGGAUAAUUUAUUGAAUCGCAUGGUUCAAUAGUGAAAGACGGUUUUGCUGUCACUUAUAGAUGGAUCCGCGCCGCAUUAGCUAGUUGGUAAGGUAACGGCUUACCAAGGCAACGAUGCGUAGCCGACCUGAGAGGGUGAUCGGCCACACUGGAACUGAGACACGGUCCAGACUCCUACGGGAGGCAGCAGUAGGGAAUCUUCCGCAAUGGGCGAAAGCUUGACGGAGCAACGCCGCGUGAGUGAUGAAGGUCUUCGGAUCGUAAAACUCUGUUAUUAGGGAAGAACAAAUGUGUAAGUAACUAUGCACGUCUUGACGGUACCUAUUCAGAAAGCCACGGCUAACUACGUG